CGGGACGGGUGAGUAAUGUAUGGGGAUCUGCCUGAUGGCGGGGGAUAACUACUGGAAACGGUAGCUAAUACCGCAUAAUGUCUGCGGACCAAAGCGGGGGACCUCCGGGCCUCGCGCCAUCAGAUGAACCCAUAUGGGAUUAGCUUGUAGGUAAGGUAACGGCUUACCUAGGCGACGAUCCCUAGCUGGUCUGAGAGGAUGAUCAGCCACACUGGGACUGAGACACGGCCCAA
rnacentral:rRNA from 1 species